AACGCACAUUGCGCCCAUUAGUAUUCUAGUGGGCGUGCCUGUUCGAGCGUCAUUUCAACCCUUAAGCCUAGCUUAGUAUUGGGAAUCUACCGAGCGGAGCUACCCUGUAGCUACCCUGUAGCUCCUUAAAGCCAGCGGCGGAUUUGUAGUAUCCUCUGAGCGUAGUAAUCUUUAUCUCGCUUUUGUUAGGUGCUGUAAUUCUAGCCGUUAAACCUCUAAUUUUUAAUGGUUGACCUCGGAUCAGGUAGGAAUACCCGCUGAACUUAA
rnacentral:misc_RNA from 1 species